rnacentral:rRNA from 1 species
CUACUGAGCGGCACACGUGCUUCCAUCUGCAGUCGAGCGGACAGAUGGGAGCUUGCUCCCUGAUGUUAGCGGCGGACGGGUGAGUAACACGUGGGUAACCUGCCUGUAAGACUGGGAUAACUCCGGGAAACCGGGGCUAAUACCGGAUGCUUGUUUGAACCGCAUGGUUCAAACAUAAAAGGUGGCUUCGGCUACCACUUACAGAUGGACCCGCGGCGCAUUAGCUAGUUGGUGAGGUAAUGGCUCACCAAGGCAACGAUGCGUAGCCGACCUGAGAGGGUGAUCGGCCACACUGGGACUGAGACACGGCCCAGACUCCUACGGGAGGCAGCAGUAGGGAAUCUUCCGCAAUGGACGAAAGUCUGACGGAGCAACGCCGCGUGAGUGAUGAAGGUUUUCGGAUCGUAAAGCUCUGUUGUUAGGGAAGAACAAGUACCGUUCGAAUAGGGCGGUACCUUGACGGUACCUAACCAGAAAGCCACGGCUAACUACGUGCCAGCAGCCGCGGUAAUACGUAGGUGGCAAGCGUUGUCCGGAAUUAUUGGCGUAAAGGGCUCGCAGGCGGUUCCUUAAGUCUGAUGUGAAAGCCCCCGGCUCAACCGGGGAGGGUCAUUGGAAACUGGGGAACUUGAGUGCAGAAGAGGAGAGUGGAAUUCCACGUGUAGCGGUGAAAUGCGUAGAGAUGUGGAGGAACACCAGUGGCGAAGGCGACUCUCUGGUCUGUAACUGACGCUGAGGAGCGAAAGCGUGGGGAGCGAACAGGAUUAGAUACCCUGGUAGUCCACGCCGUAAACGAUGAGUGCUAAGUGUUAGGGGGUUUCCGCCCCUUAGUGCUGCAGCUAACGCAUUAAGCACUCCGCCUGGGGAGUACGGUCGCAAGACUGAAACUCAAAGGAAUUGACGGGGGCCCGCACAAGCGGUGGAGCAUGUGGUUUAAUUCGAAGCAAAGAACAAGUACCGUUCGAAUAGGGCGGUACCUUGACGGUACCUAACCAGAAAGCCACGGCUAACUACGUGCCAGCAGCCGCGGUAAUACGUAGGUGGCAAGCGUUGUCCGGAAUUAUUGGGCGUAAAGGGCUCGCAGGCGGUUCCUUAAGUCUGAUGUGAAAGCCCCCGGCUCAACCGACGCGAAGAACCUUACCAGGUCUUGACAUCCUCUGACAAUCCUAGAGAUAGGACGUCCCCUUCGGGGGCAGAGUGACAGGUGGUGCAUGGUUGUCGUCAGCUCGUGUCGUGAGAUGUUGGGUUAAGUCCCGCAACGAGCGCAACCCUUGAUCUUAGUUGCCAGCAUUCAGUUGGGCACUCUAAGGUGACUGCCGGUGACAAACCGGAGGAAGGUGGGGAUGACGUCAAAUCAUCAUGCCCCUUAUGACCUGGGCUACACACGUGCUACAAUGGACAGAACAAAGGGCAGCGAAACCGCGAGGUUAAGCCAAUCCCACAAAUCUGUUCUCAGUUCGGAUCGCAGUCUGCAACUCGACUGCGUGAAGCUGGAAUCGCUAGUAAUCGCGGAUCAGCAUGCCGCUGCUAGACUGACCUGUCAUG